rnacentral:rRNA from 1 species
GAUGAACGCUAGCGGCAGGCUUAAUACAUGCAAGUCGUGGGGCAGCAGGGUUGUAGCAAUACAAUCGCUGGCGACCGGCAAACGGGUGCGUAACACGUACGCAACCUUCCCGUUACUGUGGCAUAGCCCAGGGAAACUUGGAUUAAUACCACAUAUUAUAUUGGUGAGGCAUCUCAUUGAUAUCAAAGCUUCGGCGGUAACGGAUGGGCGUGCGGUUGAUUAGGUAGUUGGCGGGGUAACGGCCCACCAAGCCUACGAUCAAUAGCUGAUGUGAGAGCAUGAUCAGCCACACGGGCACUGAGACACGGGCCCGACUCCUACGGGAGGCAGCAGUAAGGAAUAUUGGGCAAUGGACGAAAGUCUGACCCAGCCAUGCCGCGUGAAGGAUUAAGGUCCUCUGGAUUGUAAACUUCUUUUCUCUGGGGCGAAAACCAGCUAUUCUUAGCUAUUUGACAGUACCAGAGGAAUAAGCACCGGCUAACUCCGUGCCAGCAGCAGCCGCCGUAA